AUGAAACUCUCUGAAAAUUUGCAUGAUUUUGAAACUUUUUUCACAAUUUUAGGCCCUUUGGAUGACUAUAAAAAUGCCUCAACAAGCUGCGAAGAAGAACACAUUUCUAACAGGGAGAAAGUAACUAUAUCUCAACGAAAGAGAAUAUGUAAGAAGAAGAUGAAGGAAGAAUCCAUUCUCUGUGGAAAGUUACUUGGACUAAAUUUAAAUGGCCUAAAGUUAAUUGGCAUGUGGAUGCCUCCAUCUCAGUCAAAACAGAUGAUGAGACUAGUCGUGCUAACACCAAGGCAGUGA